ACAUCCCACCCUAAACUUAGUAAAGUAUAACAAAUAGAAAGAUAACAAUUCCAAGAUUAUGUCCUCCCAUCUAAAAUCAUGGCCAGAACUAAACUUCAUGGACGCAGACAUUGUGGCAAAUAUCAUCAAGAAAGAGAAUCCUAACUUUCAACCAAUCAUACUAUUGGCAGGAACUCCAACGACACGUGAUCUUAAACCUGGUCGAGUUCGACUCUUUACUAAUGUGGAAGGAAGAGUGGUUAUUAUACCUCAAGAGGGCUAAAAUAAUGUAAACCUACAUGUUUCAAAUAAUAAAUAAAAGUAAUAAACUAUUUCUUCUAUUCCCCAUAUAUAAAUAAUUAAUUUGAAC